rnacentral:rRNA from 1 species
CAAUAGCGUAUAUUAAAGUUGUUGCGGUUAAAAAGCUCGUAGUUGGAUUUCUGCUGAAGGCAGCCGGUCCAUGUUCGACAUGCGCAUCUGGAUUGACUUCGGCAUCCUCUCAGAUAACGAUUCUGUGCUUGAUUGCAUGGAGCGGAGUUUGAGACUUUUACUUUGAGGAAAAUAGAGUGUUCACGGCAGGCAAUCGCCCUGAAUAUAUUAGCAUGGAAUAAUAAAAUAGGAUCUUGGUUCUAUUUUGUUGGUUUCUAGAACGAAGAUAAUGAUUAAUAGGGACAAUUGGGGGCAUUUGUAUUAACGCGUCAGAGGUGGAAUUCUUGGAUUGCGUUACGACGAACUACUGCGAANGNAUUUGCNAAGGAUGUUUNCAUUG